AAAAAAGAUGUAGAGGUUCAUAGCUCAAUGUAUUAUAGCGUUCUAUGUUAAAUUACAGCAAAUUGCUUAACCAGACGAAAUGGACAGUUACCAAUGGUGGAAUCUGAGUGGAGUUCGCUGGUCCUGUGUAGUUUAUAGCUAACAACUAAAACUUAUAAGAACAUGUUGGCCGUGUUGAAAAGUCCAAGGAACCAAUAAAAGUGACAAGAAUACAAAUGAAAGCUAAUAUAACUAAGCUUUAUCUGCUUUUGUAUGCUAGAUACUCAAGCCAUGUGGCAUAAGGAGUGCAUGACUCUAACCACCGCUUUACAUGUCCAGCGAACUCCAUCUCUAACACUCGUCUUGCUAUGGCCCGAACUCGUCGAAAUAGCACGUUUCCUGAGCCUACCGUUAAAUGAUUUCGAUGACAAUUAAUCUGAACCUUGGUACUCAAGCAGUGCUUAGAUAACAGCUAAAAUUACACAAAAUCUACAAGAGUGUCCCCACGACACUAACCACCACUUUCCUUGCCUACUCCAACCAGCUCAUUUAAUGCACAUUUAUCUAUGCUUCUUUCAUAUACCUGACCAGAAUGGCAAUAGCUGCUACUAAACAAGAUCUAGAUAUUCGUUACAACUACAUCAUAAUUCUGAAAAAAACCCACGCUUAGUCGGUCUUCAAACAGAAAGACACUGUUUUUAUCCAAACGAAGUGAAAUAUAAAUUAUUGAAAUUAUACCAAAGUUGUUGGUCUGACUCAGUUUUUAAUCGGUCUAUCAGCAAUGCUUUCCCCCUGAUUUCUCAAACUUAUUUUAUCAGUCAACAAGUGAUCGACAUUUUAUUGCUAUUUCUCUAUUCUUCUUCCCACUAAUUCUCAUUAAAAACCGAUUAUGACACUUUUUGCCAAUUCAUCAAUGUUGAUCAGAUUUGAUGGGUUUAAUGACACAACUGUCGUUUACAAAUUUAUUGAGGGGAAUAUCAACAAUGCGGGUUAUUGACGUCGCCAUCAGCCUUCCAAUUAUGAUUGUGUCAAAGAGUAUUUAAGUAUAUGAAAAAAAUAUAUAUAAUAUUGAAAAACUACAUAAA